ACAAUCUGAAAAUUACCUUUGGCGUUUGUUGCCUUAGGUAAGAUAAUUGUGCCGACAACAAUUAGGUACAUUUAGCUUAUUGCCAACUUUAUCUAGUUGUGCAAUGAAACCUAUGUGCCUACACUG